GGGGACGUAACAAAGCGACCCAGGAAUGCUUGGGCGUGCCUCCACCCACGCCGGCGUCGGCGGGCGUAUUUCGCCUCACAGUAGGUCGCCGCGACCCGUUGCUUUUGGGGACGUCGAAGGCCCGGACGGAUUGGUACCCUACCGGCUGGGGAUGCGGCUUCGGCUUCUCCUCUUGUCCGGUGGGCGAAACCGCCGGUGUCCUGGCUGCCCUGCGACGGUCGUAGAGACGAGCCCUCCCCAUUCGUGGGGGGCGGCUCUCGCGGCGUGCAAAAGGUCGGUGAUCCACCCGACCCGUCUUGAAACACGGACCAAGGAGUCUAACAUGUGUGCGAGUCAGUGGGCGCACUAAACCCAGAGGCGUAAUGAAAGUGACACGGGUUCGGCUGUCGCCUCGUGUGGCAGCCGGACUCAGGGCCGAUCCCUCACCGGUUGCCCUCGCCUCUCUCCCGCGUCUCGGUAAGCCGGGUGAGCUAUUUUCCCCGGCCAAUGCUGCGGGGCUCGGGGGGAGGCGGGGUUGCGAUGGUGUCCGUAAAAAAGAGCCUGCUGUUGCAGGGGGGCGCAGGCCCGGGACUUGCCAGGACGCCGCGAGACUGUCACUUUGCUGUGAGGCUCCAGGGCCGAUCAGCGGGUCAUGCGUGCAGUCGGCAAGUACCAUGAGCAGACAUGUUGGGACCCGAAAGAUGGUGAACUAUGCCUGGCCAGGAUGAAGCCAGAGGAAACUCUGGUGGAGGUCCGUAGCGAUUCUGACGUGCAAAUCGAUCGUCGGAGCUGGGUAUAGGGGCGA
rnacentral:rRNA from 16 species